CUCCACAGUGGGCCCGGCAUGAGUUUGAAGAACUCUUCCGACUGUCUGCAGAGACCAUCAACCACCACCAACAGGCACACACUUCCCUGGCAGACAUGGAUGAGCCACAGACACUCACCUUACUGAAGCCAGUGCUUGGGGUCCUGAGAGUGCGUCCACAGAACUGGCAAGACUGUGUGGCGUGGGCUCUUGGCCACUGGAAACUCUGCUUUCAUUAUGGCAUCAAACAGCUGCUGAGGCACUUCCCACCUAAUAAAGUGUGUGGCUAGGGGUUGGGACGCUGGGGGCUCAGGGGGACCAGACUGAGCCCAGCAGCUUCUACUUACCUACCUAGGUGCUUGAGGAUGGAACUCCCUUCUGGUCAGGUCCCAAACAGUGUCCCCAGCCCUUGGAGUUUGACACCAACCAAGUGAGUGGGAUUCUGUAGGGAGCUCCAAGAUAGAGAUGUGGCCCCUCAGAGCAGAGGUAGGCAUUUCUGCAUUCUGCAGAGAUGCACAGAUGCCCAGAGAGAGCCAUGCUUGUGCAUAUAUGGGUGUCUACAUGUGAGGCAAAGGCAGGCACUCAAACAGAUCCACAAAUGGACAGUGACCCCCACCCCAUGCACCCAUGCCUCUG
rnacentral:lncRNA from 1 species